AUUCAGGACGAACUUCAACCCAAACCAGCAAAAAAUAAUAGUUGGAUUUUUUUGUAUGCAGAGUGAGAAAACGUCGUCCCACUCUUUAUCUAAUUGUAGCCGGUAUGAAAUCUGCAUACCAGCCCGAACAGUCUGCUGCCUUUCUUCAACUUAGUCUUUGAAAAAUGAUCCCUCGCUGGGUCAAGAUGGAAGCUGGAUCCAUUACUGCGACACAGUGAGCAAAGGGGAAAUCUGCCUGAGAGACGUGCCAUGUUCCAGACUCAUCAGAGCAGAACACAAGAGGGAAAUAGACGCUGUGUUCUCCAUUUGUGUGGCUGCUUAGAAACUGGAAAAACACAAAAGACCCUGUAGAGACAGAGUAUUGAUCUUUGGAGACUUUGGAAACGUGGCUGUGCAAGAUGGCGGUAUAUUGAUAUACAUAAAUGAAAACAUGGUUAUGACUA